rnacentral:rRNA from 1 species
UCGGAAGGGAUAAGCGCUGAAAGCAUCUAAGCGCCAAGCCCAUCCCAAGAUAAGAUCACAAUCCCUCGCAAGAGGGUGAAAGGUCCGGGGAGACCACCCGGUUGAUAGGCCAGAAAUGUAAUCGGGGUAACCCGUUGAGUUUACUGGUACUAAUGACCUUUCCGGUUUAUGCA